GGGUUGUGAGGUUAAGCGACUAAGCGUACACGGUGGAUGCCCUGGCAGUCAGAGGCGAUGAAGGACGUGCUAAUCUGCGAUAAGCGUCGGUAAGGUGAUAUGAACCGUUAUAACCGGCGAUUUCCGAAUGGGGAAACCCAGUGUGAUUCGUCACACUACCGCCAAUCUGAACUUACAGCUUAAUGAGAAAGGAACCAAAAACCGGAAACAUCUGGGCACCCUGAGGAAAGAAAUCAACCGAGAUUCCCCCAGUAGCGGCGAGCGAACGGGGAGCAAGCCCAGAGCCUGAACUUCAGUGUGUGUUAGUGGAAGCGUCUGAGCGCGAUACAGGGUGACAGCCCCGUACACAAAAAUGCACAUGCUGUGAGCUCGAUGAGUAGGGCGGGACACGUGGUAUCCUGUCUGAAUAUGGGGGGACCAUCCUCCAAGGCUAAAUACUCCUGACUGACCGAUAGUGAACCAGCACCGUGAGGGAAAGGCGAAAAGAACCCCAUGAGGGAGUGAAAAAGAACCUGAAACCGUGUACGUACAAGCAGGGAGCACGCUUAGGCGUGACCGCGUACCUUUGCAUAAUGGGUCAGUGACUUAUAUUCUGUAGCAAGGUUAACCGAAUAGGGGAGCCGAAGGGAAACCGAGUCUUAACUGGGCGUUAAGUUGCAGGGUAUAGACCCGAAACCCAAGUGAUUCCAGCUUCAUGGGCAGCGGGUUGGGUAACACUAACUGGAGGACCGAACCGACUAAUGCUGAAAACAAUUUAAUUUGUGGCUGGGGUGAAAGCGCCAACGUACCGGGAGAUAGCCAUAGUUCUCCCGAAAGCUAUUUAGGUAGCGCCUCGUGAAUUCAUCUCCCGGGGUAGACACCGUUUCGGCAGUGGCCAUCCCGACCACCAACCCGAUGCAAACCGGGUGAAUACCGGAGAAUGUUAUCACGGGAGACACACGGCGGGCGCAACGUCCGUCGUGAAGAGGGAAACAAACCUGGUGACCGCCAGCUAAGGUCCCAAAGUCAUGGUUAAGUGGGAAACGAUGUGGGAAGGCCCAGAUUGUAGCCGUGGAUGUUGGCUUCUAGAAGCAGCCAUCAUUUAAAAGAAAAGCUGCACAGCUCACUGGUCGAGUCACCGGUGCGGAAGAUGUAACGGGGCUAAACCAUGCACCGAAGCUGCGGCAGCGACACUAUGUGUUGCUAGUAGUGGAGCGUUCUGUAAGCCCGCGAAGGUGUGUCGCGGAGGUAGCGCUAUGUACCGCAGCGUUGAAUGCCGGUCAUUGGGCAAACGAUAAAGCGGGUGAAAAGCCCGCCUCGCCGGAAGACCAAGGGUUCCUGUCCAACGUUAAUCGGGGCAGGGUAUCGACCCUGCUAUGAGUCAAGCGCGCGUCGAUGGAAAACAGGUUAAUAUUCCUGCAAUUUGCGUUACUGCGAAGGGGGGGGACGGAGAAGGUUAUGUUGGCCGGGCGACGGUUGUCCCGGUUUGCUGCAAGGGCUGGUUUUCCAAACUGGAAAAUCAGCGCUGAGGCGUGAUGACGAGGCACUACGGUGCUGAAGCAACAAAUGCCCUGCUUCCGUGAAAGCCCUAAGCAUCAGGUAACAUCAAAUCAAAAAUUCCAAACCGACACAGGUGGUCAGGUAGAGAAUACCAAGGCGCUUGAGAGAACUCGGGUGAAGGAACUAGGCAAAAUGGUGCCGUAACUUCGGGAGAAGGCACGCUGAUAUGUAGGUGAAGCGACUUGCUCGUGGAGCUGAAAUCAGUCGAAGAUACCAGCUGGCUGCAACUGUUUAUUAAAAACACAGCACUGUGCAAACACGAAAGUGGACUCGAAGCCCCGGUAAACGGCGGCCGUAAAUUCAUAACGGGUCCUAAGGUAGCGAAAUUCCCUUGUCGGGUAAGUUCCGACCUGCACGAAUGGCGUAAUGAUGGCCAAAGGCUCUAACCCGAGACUCCAGUGAAAUUGAACUCGCUGUGAAGAUGAAAAAUUCGCGGCAAGACGGAAAGACCCCGUGAACCUUUACCAUAGCUUGACACUGAACAUUGAGCCUUGAUGUGUAGGGAUAGGUGGGGAGGCUUUUGGUGAAGUGUGGACGCCAGUCUGCAUGGAGCCGACCUUGAAAUACCACCCUUUAAUGUUUGAUGUUCUAACGUUGACCCGUAAAUCCGGGCUGUGACAGUGCGUCUGGUGGGUAGUUUGACUGGGGCGGUCUCCCUCCUAAAGAGUAAACGGAGAGCACGAAGGUUGGCUAAUCCUCGUCGGGAUACUCGGAGGUGCUAGUGCAAUGGCAUAAGCCAGCUUGACUGCGAGCGUGACGGCGCGAGCAGGUGCGAAAGCAGGUCAUAGUGAUCCGGUGGUUCUGAAUGGAAGGGCCAUCGCUCAACGGAUAAAAGGUACUCCGGGGAUAACAGGCUGAUACCGCCCAAGAGUUCAUAUCGACGGCGCGGUGUUUGGCAACUCCCGAUGUCGGCCAUUGGGCUCAUCAAGCAUCCCGGGCUGAAGUAGGUCCCAAGGGUGUUGUUCGCCAUUUGUGCGUGGUACGCGAGCUGGGCUAGAACGUCGUGAGACAGUUCCGGUCCCUACCCGCCGGCGCUGGAGGAACUGAGGGGGCUGCUCCCUAGUACGAGAGGACCGGAGGACGCAUCACUGGUGUUCGUUGUCAUGCCAAUGGCACCCGGUAGCUAAAUGCGGAAGAGAUAAGUGCUGAAAGCAUCUGCUAACGAAACUUGCCCUCGCCCUCCCCGACCCCUUUAAGGGUCCUGAAGGAACGCGAAGACGACGAGACGUUGAUAGGCCGGGUGUGUAAGCGCAGCGAUGCGUUGAGCCAACCUAUACUAACGAACCGUGAGGCUUAACCCACAACGCCGAAGGUGUUU
rnacentral:rRNA from 1 species